rnacentral:pre_miRNA from 1 species
UAAACUCAUUUAACCAUCUAACCCAUCAAAUUAAAUGAGUUCAUGGGUUGACUCAUUAUUUGCUAAAUGAGUUGAGUCAACCCAUGAACUCAUUUAACUUCAAACUCAUUGGAUAAUGAGU